rnacentral:misc_RNA from 1 species
AACUUUUAGCAACAUGGAUCUCUUGGCUCUCGCAUCGAUGAAGAACGCAGCGAAAUGCGAUACGUAACGUGAAUUGCAGAAUUCAGUGAAUCAUCGAAUCUUUGAACGCACCUUGCGCCCCUUGGUAUUCCGAGGGGCACACCCGUUUGAGUGUCGUGACUUCCUCAACCUUCUCGGUCUUUGCGAUCGGGAAAGGCUUGGACUUUGGGGGUUUUUUGCUGGCCUCUCUCGAAGCCGGCUCCCCUUAAAUGGAUUAGUGGGGUUCGCUUUGCCGAUCCUCGACGUUGAUAAGAUGUUUCUACGUCUUGGGCUAGGCACCGCCUUUCGGGAACCUGCUUCUAACCGUCUCGAGAGAGACAAUGCGUUUUGGACCUUGACCUCAAAUCGGGUGAGACUACCCGCUGAACUUAAGCAUAUCAAUAAGCGGAGGCU